rnacentral:tRNA from 1 species
UAUGUCCUAGUAUAUGAUGUACAAAAAUUUUUGAUAUUUUAAGAUAUAGUUUAAUUCUGUAGGGUGUAA